rnacentral:rRNA from 1 species
GACAGAGGGUGCAAACGUUGUUCGGAAUUACUGGGCGUAAAGCGCGUGUAGGCGGCUCUGCAAGUCGGAUGUGAAAUCCCACGGCUCAACCGUGGAAGUGCAUUCGAAACUGCAGGGCUUGAGUCCUGGAGAGGAAGGUGGAAUGCUUGGUGUAGAGGUGAAAUUCGUAGAUAUCAAGCGGAACACCGGUGGCGAAGGCGGCCUUCUGGACAGUGACUGACGCUGAGACGCGAAAGCGUGGGGAGCAAACAGG